AACCGUUUCUCGUUAGAUCACCGAAGUCAAGCAUCAUUGGGCGCGGUCAGUACUUGGGUGGGUGACCACCUGGGAACACCGCGUGCCGUU